rnacentral:rRNA from 1 species
CCCUGCCAUUUGUACACACCGCCCGUCGCUACUACCGAUUGAAUGGCUUAGUGAGCUCUAGGGACUGUUGCCUCUGAUAGGGUUACCUGUCAGUGGUCGACGGGAACUAGAUCAAACUUGAUCAUUUA